rnacentral:lncRNA from 1 species
CUCCCAGUUCCCCCCACUAGGCCGCCCCGCGCUCCUUCCCUCCUUUCCCCGCCCCAGUCCCGCAGUCCGGGAGGCGGGGGUCAGCGACCCAGCUGAGUGGGAGCCGCGCGGUGUCCGAGGAGCCAGUCGGCGACCGAUUUUCUUCCAGGCAUAGACCCUUUGCUUCAAGGGCAAGCUCCAGUAUGGGGGCACAGCACACCCUGCUCCAGAGGCACAGAGAGAAAACAUCCUACAUCAGCCACUCCUGCCUAAUAGUACCGAGGGGAGCAGAAGCUUCAGAGCCCACUCCUGCAGGUCUGUAGCUUUAAAGCCUUCUUUAAAUUGAGUCCAUUUGCAUCCAGAAGAUUAGAACCCCAUC